rnacentral:tRNA from 1 species
AAGGGUGUGGUUCAGUGGUAGAACAUGUGCUUGGCAUGCACAAGGCACCCUGG